UACGAAGGGGGCUAGCGUUGCUCGGAAUCACUGGGCGUAAAGCGCACGUAGGCGGCUUUCUAAGUCAGGGGUGAAAUCCUGGAGCUCAACUCCAGAACUGCCUUUGAUACUGGAGAGCUAGAGUCCGGAAGAGGUGAGUGGAACUGCGAGUGUAGAGGUGAAAUUCGUAGAUAUCGCAAGAACACCAGUGGCGAAGGCGGCUCACUGGUCCGGUACUGACGCUGAGGUGCGAAAGCGUGGGGGAGCAAACAGG
rnacentral:rRNA from 1 species